rnacentral:rRNA from 1 species
UCUAGCGAAAUUCCUUGUCGGGUAAGUUCCGACGCGCAUCAAUAGCGGAACGACUGGGGGACUGUCUCAACGAGCCGCCCGGUGAACUUGCAGUGUGAGCGAAGAUGCUCACUUCCUGUGGCAAGACGAAAAGACCCCAGAAGCUUUACUGCAGCUUCUUAUUGUGCCUGCGGUUUUCAUGCGUAGCGUAGUGGGGAGGCUUUGAAGGCGCGUUUUCGGACGCGCUGGAGCCGCCAAUGCAACACCCAUCUUGAAAAUUGCAUGUACUAACCGGAACGGUCAAAACGGUCCGGGACAGUGCCUGCUGGGCAGUUUAAGUGGGGCGCUUGCCUCAACGCGGUAUCGUAUCCGUUACCUCGCGCUUUGCGCGAAGCGAUACCGCAGGGGCGGUCUACGGGCAACCGUAGACGCAAACUAAGCUAUAUGCUGGGAAAACUGUUCCUUCAAUGGAUGCAGGGUUUAACAUACUUUCGUCGAGAAGGUGAAAAAUGUUAAACGCAGUUUAUCAGCAGGGAAGUUGUUCUGAUGCAGUCAGAAUUAACCCCUCAACGACUACACGCUUGGCACCCUAAACCGCUUAGGCGGUCGGGUGGUGAUAUAGUCUGAACUUACGGGCGACUGUAAGGAUCCUUCCGAGGAUCACCUAAUACUAUGAGAUCAAAUGUUAUCGAGGCCUAUAAAUUAGGACUCAAGUUGUCCGAUUACCAGCGAGAAAUCGUGAUCGGGCUCUUGUUGGGAGAUGGCCAUUUAGAAACCCAAAAUAAUGGCCGGACGUAUCGAUUGAAAAUCGAACAUACGCAUUGGCAGAAAGAAUAUACGGAGUGGUUGUACCAGAUUUUCAAAGACUGGGUAUUAACUCCUCCACAAGAAAAAGAUCAGGUCGUGAACGGUGUUCAAUAUAAAAAGAUUUGGUUUUCGACGAUAAGUCAUGGCGCAUUCAGGUUUUAUGCUCAACAAUUCUACCAACAUAAGCAUAAAAUUCUGCCGAAGUUGAUUCAUAAAUGGCUUUCACCUAUGGUUCUGGCAGUAUGGUUCAUGGACGAUGGCUCGAUAAAAUCAAAACGGCAUCGGGCAUUGAUUCUAAACACACAAAGUUUUACCGUAUCGGAGCUCCGUCGAUUGAUAAAGACAAUACAGGAUCAGUUCGGGGUUGAAAUGGUUCUAAGGAAACAGCGAGAUCUGCAUCAAUUGCUUAUCACGAGCGAAACGGUAGGAGAAUUUGUUGAAAUUAUCAAGCCACACAUAUUGCCAUCGAUGCGAUAUAAGUUAGGAAUAUUAGGGAACGCAAUUGCCUAAAGCGUAACGGAGGCGUUUAUUAAGGUUGACUAGCUCCGGAUGGACAUCGGAGUGGUCCCGCAAUGGGAAAUGUCAGCUUUACUGCAAGGCACACACGCCGCGCAGUCGCGAAAGCGGAACAUAGUGAACCGACCGUUCUUCGUAGGAAGGCGGAAGAUCAUCGGAUAAAAGCUACUCUGGGGAUAACAGGCUAGUCUGGUCCAAGAGUCCACAUCGACGACCAGGUUCGGCACCUCGAUGUCGGCCCAUCUUAUCCUGGGGGUGGAGAAGCUCCCAAGGGUUUGGCUGUUCGCCAAUUAAAAAGGUACGCGAGUUGGGUUCAAACCGUCGAGCGAUUGAUUAUUCGAUCGUUCGACCCGUUUGAACCCCCGCGAAAGUCGACAUACGAAAUUCACGGCGGCAUUACAUAGGAAUAUGUAAUGGCAAGCUGACUAGUAUCGGUAAAAUCCUAACUUUUCGAAGUGGACAAUACCGAGGGAAUCUCUCAUGGAGAGCCCGUAGAGACUGAACGUCAGCCAUCCAGAACGGAUGAGGUUACAGUCCAAUGCACGCAGUAAUGCGUGAAGAAACAUGCGUGAGACAGGUUGGUCUCUAUCUGCCACAGGCGUUGAAACGUGAGGGGACUCGUUCCUAGUAAGGUACAAAGUACCUAUUGCUACUUCGCGGAGUAAUCCGCGAUGACAACACGGCUAAUAACGGUGAAAUCUUAAGAUAUUCUCGGUCUGUUGAUAACCAGUACUGUUGCGGUCCUGCAAAUAUUGGUACAAUUUACUUGAGGACCAGAAUUAAUUAAGACAAUACCGUGGGAAGUCGAACUAAAAUUGAUUUAGCGUAUAUCGCCGGUUUUCUUGAUGGCGAUGGAAGUUUGAUGUUGCAGAUCAAGAAACGAAAGGAUGGAAAACUGAAAAGGCGCUUCAUGUGCACUAUCUGUUUUUAUCAAGAUAGCCGUCAUGAGGAGCAGCUUUACUGGAUACGUGAAAAGCUCGGUAUCGGGUAUGUAUCCAGAAGAAACGAUGGCAUGACCGAAUUACGAGUAAAUGGGUAUGCGCAAAUUCGAGAUAUUCUGAAAGACUUGCUUCCGUUCAUCAGGUUCAAAAAAGAGCAGGCGCUAGCGUUAUACCAAGCUGCUAAUCUUCUGAAUCAAAAGAGCGUGAAGUGUCUUGCAAGAUCGGAUUUACUGAAGCUUAUUGGGCACAUUUUGACCAUUCAAAACGGUAAUUAUGUGACUAAGCGCAAGAAAACCAAAGAAGAAUUGCUGAAAAUUUUAGUUUCUGACCCCGUAUCGACUGAUUCCCGCAAGUCUAAAAACUUGCGCGGAUGAGAUAGGAAGUAAACUCUUCUAUCACAUGCCGUCCCCUAAUCCCGCAUAAGCGGGAUGGGUGAAGAUAUAGUCAGCACCUUUAGUGAUAAAGGAAAUAUGUGACGAGAGGACCGGAAUGAACUGACCUCUGGUGUACCAGUUGUCGCGCCCGCGGCAUUGCUGGGUAGCUAUGUCGGGACGUGAUAAGCGCUGAAAGCAUCUAAGCGCGAAGCACACCCUAAGAUUACGUUUCGUUAUCAGGGUCGUGGGAGACUACCACGUUGAUAGGACGCAGGUGGAAGUGCCGUAAGGCAUUAAGCCGAGCGUUACUAAUAUCCCGAGACCGCGGAACCA